UAGCCAUGGUGUGGACACCUUCUCACUAAAUCUUUGAAUCUGUCUUAAGCUUCAUAAAGUGUUUCCACAUUGAUAUGAGUAAACAUCUAGAUAUUAUUUAUUAAUUU